GAGGGUGUCGUUCAGUGGUAGAGUGCAUACCUAGCAUGCAUGAAGUCCUGGGUUCAAUCCCCAGUACCUCUG
rnacentral:tRNA from 1 species